UUUCAUAACAAGCUUAAUCUAUUCAGAGCGGGGGAAUCAUGCAUUUGGUAAGGCUCUUACCUUGGGGUGAAUCCGUAAAUGGAAGGGAACUCUCAAUCCCGAAUCCGACAGUUAACCUCGUCUGCUUUAUUGGGAGAAAGA
rnacentral:sRNA from 2 species